UUCUUGGAGGGUUUGAUCCUGGCUCAGGACUAACGCUGGCGGCGUGUCUUAGACAUGUAAGUCGAACGGGUUGCUAUUUUGUAGCAAUACAGAAUAGCGCUA
rnacentral:ncRNA from 1 species